ACAAACUUGGUCAUUUAGAGGAAGUAAAAGUCGUAACAAGGUUUCCGUAGGUGAACCUGCGGAAGGAUCAUUACCGAGUGCGGGCCCUCUGGGUCCAACCUCCCACCCGUGUCUACCGUACCUUGUUGCUUCGGCGGGCCCGCCGCCAUGGCCGCCGGGGGGCGUCCUGCCCCCGGGCCCGCGCCCGCCGAAGACCCCCUCUCGAACGCUGUCUGAAGGUUGCAGUCUGAGUGGAAUAUCUAAAUCGGUUAAAACUUUCAACAACGGAUCUCUUGGUUCCGGCAUCGAUGAAGAACGCAGC
rnacentral:misc_RNA from 1 species